rnacentral:rRNA from 1 species
GACGAACGCUGGCGGCGUGCUUAACACAUGCAAGUCGAACGGAAAGGCCCUGCUUUUGUGGGGUGCUCGAGUGGCGAACGGGUGAGUAACACGUGAGUAACCUGCCCUUGACUUUGGGAUAACUUCAGGAAACUGGGGCUAAUACCGGAUAGGAGCUCCUGCUGCAUGGUGGGGGUUGGAAAGUUUCGGCGGUUGGGGAUGGACUCGCGGCUUAUCAGCUUGUUGGUGGGGUAGUGGCUUACCAGGGCCUUGACGGGUAGCCGGCCUGAGAGGGUGACCGGCCACAUUGGGACUGAGAUACGGCCCAGACUCCUACGGGAGGCAGCAGUGGGGAAUAUUGCACAAUGGGCGGAAGCCUGAUGCAGCAACGCCGCGUGCGGGAUGACGGCCUUCGGGUUGUAAACCGCUUUCGCCUGUGACGAAGCGUGAGUGACGGUAAUGGGUAAAGAAGCACCGGCUAACUACGUG